rfam:TPA: Bos taurus chromosome 5, whole genome shotgun sequence.
UCCCUGGUGGCUCAGAUGGUAAAGCGUCUGCCUGCAAUGCGGGAGACCUGGGUUUGAUUCCUGGGUUGGGAA